UACGUAGGGUGCAAGCGUUAAUCGGAAUUACUGGGCGUAAAGCGUGCGCAGGCGGUUUUGUAAGUCAGAUGUGAAAUCCCCGGGCUUAACCUGGGAACUGCGUUUGAAACUACAAGGCUAGAGUGUGGCAGAGGGGGGUGGAAUUCCACGUGUAGCAGUGAAAUGCGUAGAGAUGUGGAGGAACACCGAUGGCGAAGGCAGCCCCCUGGGCUAGCACUGACGCUCAGGCACGAAAGCGUGGGGAGCAAACAGG
rnacentral:rRNA from 1 species